AUAUCAAUAAGCGGAGGAAAAGAAACUAACAAGGAUUCCCCUAGUAACUGCGAGUGAAGCGGGAAAAGCUCAAAUUUAAAAUCUGGCAGUCUUUGAUUGUCCGAGUUGUAAUUUAGAGAAGUGUUACCCGUGUUGGACCGUGUAUAAGUCUCCUGGAAUGGAGCGUCAUAGAGGGUGAGAAUCCCGUCUUUGACACGGAUCCCAAUGCAUUUGUGGUAUGCUCUCGAAGAGUCGAGUUGUUUGGGAAUGCAGCUCUAAAUGGGUGGUAAAUUCCAUCUAAAGCUAAAUAUUGGGGAGAGACCGAUAGCGCACAAGUA
rnacentral:rRNA from 1 species